GAUGAACGCUAGCGGCAGGCUUUAACACAUGCAAGUCGAGGGGCAGCGCGAUGUAGCAAUACGUUGGCGGCGACCGGCGCACGGGUGCGUAACACGUAUGGAAUCUGCCCUUUACUGGGAAAUAACCCGGAGAAAUCCGGACUAAUAUCCCAUAAUAGACGAGGUGGCAUCACCUUGUUUUGAAAGCUCCGGCGGUAAAGGAUGACCAUGCGCCCGAUUAGCUAGUUGGUGAGGUAACGGCUCACCAAGGCUACGAUCGGUAGGGGGCCUGAGAGGGUUAUCCCCCACACUGGUACUGAGACACGGACCAGACUCCUACGGGAGGCAGCAGUGAGGAAUAUUGCGCAAUGGAGGCAACUCUGACGCAGCCAUGCCGCGUGCAGGAAGAAGGCGCUACGCGUUGUAAACUGCUUUUAUCCGGGAAGAAACCCCAGGACGUGUCCUGGGUUGACGGUACCGGAGGAAUAAGCACCGGCUAACUUCGUG
rnacentral:rRNA from 1 species